CACAUCAAUCAUUCAUCACCAUCCCCAUCUCACGGUGUGUACCCUCAAUCCCCGGAAUAGAACGAUCCCUACUUGCUUAUACUACUAUGAUAUUUUUAGGGUUAAAUUAUGCGCCUGCUUUCAGGCGCAUCAGGCAUGUGCGACAAUGCCUCGUCGCCUGAAUCAAGAAGUACUCGAGCAAGGACUCGACGGUGAAGCCAGAUCAUGUUUGAUUUAGAGUAUGUGGGUUUAGGAAUCAAAUGUUCGAUAGAAUUUUAUGGGUGAACAAAUGGAUAAUUGUAGUAGAUGGGCAAUUGAAUUAAGAAUUUGAAAUCCCCAAGUGAGAAGGUUGAAGAAGAA